rnacentral:rRNA from 1 species
AGUGAACGCUGGCGGUAGGCCUAACACAUGCAAGUCGAACGGCAGCACAGUAAGAGCUUGCUCUUACGGGUGGCGAGUGGCGGACGGGUGAGGAAUACAUCGGAAUCUACUUUUUCGUGGGGGAUAACGUAGGGAAACUUACGCUAAUACCGCAUACGACCUACGGGUGAAAGCAGGGGAUCUUCGGACCUUGCGCGAUUGAAUGAGCCGAUGUCGGAUUAGCUAGUUGGCGGGGUAAAGGCCCACCAAGGCGACGAUCCGUAGCUGGUCUGAGAGGAUGAUCAGCCACACUGGAAUUGAGACACGGUCCAGACUCCUAUGGGAGGCAGCAGUGGGGAAUAUUGGACAAUGGGCGCAAGCCUGAUCCAGCCAUACCGCGUGGGUGAAGAAGGCCUUCGGGUUGUAAAGCCCUUUUGUUGGGAAAGAAAAGCAGCAGGUUAAUACCCCGCUGUUCUGACGGUACCCAAAGAAUAAGCACCGGCUAACUUCGUG